rnacentral:rRNA from 1 species
UGUAGUAUUACUUAAUUUUUUUUUGGAUUUAGUUUAUAAAUAUAUAUAUAUAAAUUUCAAUAGAAUAUUUAUUAGGUGAAAUUUUAAAUUUUUUGUACGAGUUUAUUUUUUGUUAAUUUGGCUGUGAAGUUUGUUAAUAAACUAGGAUUAGAUACCCUAUUAUUAUAAAUGUGAAAUUUUUAUCUAGAUUAGUAUUAGUUAUGAUCUUGAAAAUUAAAGAUUUUGGCGGUAUUUUAUUCUUUUCAGAGGAACCUGUCUAUUAAUCGAUGAUCCACGAUUUUUUCUACUUUUUCUUUGUUUAUAUAUCGUCGUUAUUGAAUAUUUUUAAAAAAAUUUAAUUUUCGUGAUUUUCAUUAAAAAGAAGAUCAGAUCAAGGUGUAGCUGAUGAAAAAGGUAUUGAUGGGUUACAUUAAAUUUAUAAGGGGAUUGUUUUAUUAAAUAAAACAUGAAUUAGGAUUUGAUUGUAAUUUUAAUUAAUUUAUUAAAAUGAUUAUAGAUCUAAAAUAUGCACAUAUCGCCCGUCGCUUUCACCUUAAAGUGAAAUAAGUCGUAACAAAGUAGGCUCACUGGAAAGUGAGCCUGGAAAGACGAGCUGGAGCUUGAUUUAAGCGUUUUAUUUACAUUAAAAAGUUAUUUGUGAAAUUCAAUUUAGCUUGAACUUUUUUUGUUAAUUUUUUUAUAAGAUAAUUUUUUAAUGGAAUUAGAUUUUUAAUUUUUAUUAUUCUAAAGAAAAAAUUUUUUUAUUUAUAGUUUAUUUUUACUGUGAAGGAUUUAAUUGAAGUAAUUUUAAGGAUAAUUAAUUUUU